UAAUUUUUCAAAAAGUCAAAUAGAUUAAAAUUAUAUUUUUUGUUGUUAAAAAUAAUAAUAUAAAAUCCUCAAAGACAAUCCAGAUCAUUGCAGUAGUUAAUGAAAAAGGUGACCUUGAAGAAACCUUCACCUGUUGCGAAGUUCGGCGAUGUGGGCGUUUUGCGUCCAGGAGCAGGGUUUGAUGAUGAACUGUUAUACUUGGAGGCGGCUAUGCUUGUAACGGAGUUUUAUAUUUGUAUAUGGAGCCUGUAUACGAAGCGUAUUUUGGACAUCAAGGCGAAAAUAUCACGUUGCAGAAGGAAAAGGGAAAGGUGCAAUUAACCGGUACGUGCUGGCCGGGCGGGUUGUGCGUCAAUUUGAACCACCGAUCCCGUUGUUUUUGGCUACCUGAUCGACGCGCAGGUUCCCACAACCUGAGUCACUGGCUCCCUGUAAUCUAAAGCCGCCGAUCAUUCUUAAUAUCGUCAUGAGCGAAGAAGUAACUCCAUAGUGACACUCCGAUGUAGGUAAACCUACGGUAAACAAUUUUCACUCGCUAUCAUUCGAGUUAAGAACUCGAGGCCAUCGGCGUUUAGUCGACGAUUUGGAGUAUCGGUGGCGGAUCAGACAUAAUGAGUCAAAAACAGAGGUGAUUCUGUUCACUCGCAGAAGGCCUAAUGUUGACUGUUUUGUGACAAUAAAUGGAAGGUGUAUUCCAUGGAAAAUAGAAGUGAAGUAUCUCGGUUUGAUGCUGGACUCAAAGCUCACGUUCACCAAGCACAUCAACACGGUAUGCGAUAGAGGAGUGGCUCUGAUCUGCAAUUUAUUUCCAUUGAUAAAUAGACACACUGAUCUGAGUACAUUUAAUAAAAAGUUAAUUUAUUAUUUGUAUAUUCGACCCAUGCUGUUGUAUGCGGCUCCUGUCUGGUCUAAUACAUGUAUCACCAACUACAGGAAGUUGCAGGUUGUGCAGAACAAAUGCUUGAGACUGAUUGGUUCCUUUUACAGGUGGACGCCAAUAGACUACAUGCAUUCAGUAUUGGAGGUGACUAGUGUCUCUACACAAGCCCACAGUAUAACAUCAAGAUUUUGCAAAGCUUGUGAACUUAGUGAAUACACUAAUAUUAGAAAUGUUGUUAACUAUGAAGCUGCCUCCUUGCAGACACUUUACAAAAAAUAUAAGUACAAAAGAGUGAAGCACAUUUUGCUGUAAAUUAACCAUAUAAGAUCAGGUAUAUAGGCAGAAAGCCUGAAGCCAGUCUUUUAAUUUCUUUUGUAAAUACUGUAUAUAUUUUGUAAAUAAAAAUAAAUUUCAAAUUU